rnacentral:rRNA from 1 species
UACGGGGGGGGCAAGCGUUGUUCGGAAUUACUGGGCGUAAAGGGCUCGUAGGCGGCCAACUAAGUCAGACGUGAAAUCCCUCGGCUUAACCGGGGAACUGCGUCUGAUACUGGAUGGCUUGAGUUUGGGAGAGGGACGCGGAAUUCCAGGUGUAGCGGUGAAAUUCGUAGAUAUUCGCAAGAACACCAGUGGCGAAGGCGGCUCACUGGCCCGAUACUGACGCUGAUGCACGAAAGCGUGGGGAGCAAACAGG